rnacentral:rRNA from 1 species
CAGUCGCCGCGGUAAUACGUAGGGUGCGGGCGUUAAUCGGAAUUACUGGGCGUAAAGCGUGCGCAGGCGGUUAUAUAAGACAGAUGUGAAAUCCCCGGGCUCAACCUGGGACCUGCAUUUGUGACUGGCAAGCUAGAGUAUGGCAGAGGGGGGUGGAAUUCCGCGUGUAGCAGUGAAAUGCGUAGAUAUGCGGAGGAACACCGAUGGCGAAGGCAGCCCCCUGGGCCAAUACUGACGCUCAUGCACGAAAGCGUGGGGAGCAAACAGGAUUAGAUACCCCCGUAGUCCCUGUCUCUUAUAC